AGAGUUUGAUCAUGGCUCAGAUUGAACGCUGGCGGAAUGCUUUACACAUGCAAGUCGAACGGCAGCACGGGGGCAACCCUGGUGGCGAGUGGCGAACGGGUGAGUAAUACAUCGGAACGUGCCCAGUCGUGGGGGAUAACGUAGCGAAAGCUACGCUAAUACCGCAUGAGAUCCAAGGAUGAAAGCGGGGGAUCGCAAGACCUCGCGCGAUUGGAGCGGCCGAUGGCAGAUUAGGUAGUUGGUGGGGUAAAGGCCUACCAAGCCUGCGAUCUGUAGCUGGUCUGAGAGGACGACCAGCCACACUGGGACUGAGACACGGCCCAGACUCCUACGGGAGGCAGCAGUGGGGAAUUUUGGACAAUGGGCGCAAGCCUGAUCCAGCCAUUCCGCGUGCAGGAUGAAGGCCUUCGGGUUGUAAACUGCUUUUGUACGGAACGAAACGGUCCUGGUUAAUACCCGGGGCUAAUGACGGUACCGUAAGAAUAAGCACCGGCUAACUACGUGCCAGCAGCCGCGGUAAUACGUAGGGUGCAAGCGUUAAUCGGAAUUACUGGGCGUAAAGCGUGCGCAGGCGGUGAUGUAAGACAGAUGUGAAAUCCCCGGGCUCAACCUGGGAACUGCAUUUGUGACUGCAUUGCUGGAGUGCGGCAGAGGGGGAUGGAAUUCCGCGUGUAGCAGUGAAAUGCGU
rnacentral:rRNA from 1 species